UGAGUAAUGUCUGGGAAACUGCCUGAUGGAGGGGGAUAACUACUGGAAACGGUAGCUAAUACCGCAUAACGUCGCAAGACCAAGAGGGGGCCUUAGGGCCUCUUGCCAUCGGAUGUGCCCAGAUGGGAUUAGCUAGUAGGUGGGGUAAUGGCUCACCUAGGCGACGAUCCCUAGCUGGUCUGAGAGGAUGACCAGCCACACUGGAACUGAGACACGGUCCAG
rnacentral:rRNA from 1 species